rnacentral:rRNA from 1 species
CGAUGAACCCAACUUCGGUGGGGGAUUAGUGGCGAACGGGUGAGUAACACGUGGGCAAUCUGCCCUGCACUCUGGGACAAGCCCUGGAAACGGGGUCUAAUACCGGAUACGACCACUUCAGGCAUCUGAUGGUGGUGGAAAGCUCCGGCGGUGCAGGAUGAGCCCGCGGCCUAUCAGCUUGUUGGUGAGGUAACGGCUCACCAAGGCGACGACGGGUAGCCGGCCUGAGAGGGCGACCGGCCACACUGGGACUGAGACACGGCCCAGACUCCUACGGGAGGCAGCAGUGGGGAAUAUUGCACAAUGGGCGAAAGCCUGAUGCAGCGACGCCGCGUGAGGGAUGACGGCCUUCGGGUUGUAAACCUCUUUCAGCAGGGAAGAAGCGAAAGUGACGGUACCUGCAGAAGAAGCGCCGGCUAACUACGUGCCAGCAGCCGCGGUAAUACGUAGGGCGCAAGCGUUGUCCGGAAUUAUUGGGCGUAAAGAGCUCGUAGGCGGCUUGUCGCGUCGGAUGUGAAAGCCCGGGGCUUAACCCCGGGUCUGCAUUCGAUACGGGCAGGCUAGAGUUCGGUAGGGGAGAUCGGAAUUCCUGGUGUAGCGGUGAAAUGCGCAGAUAUCAGGAGGAACACCGGUGGCGAAGGCGGAUCUCUGGGCCGAUACUGACGCUGAGGAGCGAAAGCGUGGGGAGCGAACAGGAUUAGAUACCCUGGUAGUCCACGCCGUAAACGUUGGGAACUAGGUGUGGGCGACAUUCCACGUCGUCCGUGCCGCAGCUAACGCAUUAAGUUCCCCGCCUGGGGAGUAC